UCACCAUCUCUAAAGAUUUAUAGUUUUCUUCAUCUCCUCAAAGUUUCCUAGUCCUCUCUCUCUCUCCCCCUCUUUCUCUUUCCCGUGGAGCUCCAUCUUUCUCAUCUGUCACACUGGCGUCGCAGUCAAACUCUGUUCUUCUCUCCUCUCCGGUCUCGCAAUCAAGGUUGUCGUCGCAAUCAAGGUCAUCCUCGCGUCAGAGAGCGUCGCCAUCUUGUGCGUUCCAGAGAGCAUCGCCGUAGUCCUCUUGGUUUCAGAGAGCGUCGCCAUCUUUCUCGCCGUCUUCCUCGUUCUUCAUCAACGUCGGAUUUGCAGAGCUAGAAUGCUGGCUCUAAAUCAAGGAAAAAAAAAUAAUAGAAGCUGAAAAGUUAAAAAGAAAAAUAAAGGUAUAUUGAUUUAAGUGCAAUGUUUUUAUUGCCUUUUUUUGCAUAUAUACUGUUUGCACAUGGCUUGUAGUGUAUAGGCUUCUAAAAAAGUUUUGCUUGAUGCUGGGGUUAUGUACUUUCUUUUAUUCCUUUUUGGUUACUAGUACUACAUGUUACUAUUUUUUUUCUUCUUCUUUUUUGUGACAAUUGAUCAACUUGUGAAAGAAAUGUCUGAGAGGGGAUUGAGGUACUAGCACAUGGUGACACUACUAUUUUCAUACUGCAGGAUAUUGAUUGCAUUCAUACUAAAGGUAAAUUCAUUUUAAUCCACCAAAAACUAACGUCUUAAACUUGGUUCAUUUAUGUAUCUCCAUAUAAAACAUUUACUCCUUGAACUUUCUGACAAGACUUGAGCAUAUCCUUAAGAGGAUUGUGUUGAUAUCUGAGGCUACGAAUACACAGAAACCUUCUGCCGUUACAAAUACUAUCACCCAACGGUAUUUGUUUGCACCAUGUUAAUGCUAACGCCAAAAUCAUUUAGUUUAUUAAGUUAUGCCAAUGACUUAUUAUGUUGGACCAGUUCUUGCUCAUUGAAAACAGGUGAAUGACAAUGAAGAUUAUAACAUCAGUAGCAUAUUUAAAGAAGCCUGUGAUUUUAUAGAUUAUAUUGAGCAGAUUGGUCAGAUAGUUUCAGUUCAUUAUUUUGAGGGGAGAAGCGGAAGUGUUACUCUGGUUCUUGCUUACUUAUGCUCAGAAACAUGAACGCUGAAACAAAUCAAGGAGAGAAGAGUUUGAGUUCCAAAAGCUAACCCUCCAAUCAAAUCAAGAUAACUUUUGAUCCGGAGUUUCGAUUGCCGCAUCGUUUGCAGCCACACGACUGUAGCGUCGAGCUCUACAAAGUCCAGUAUGUUGUAAGGUAAGAAAAUCAUGUUUUCUUCCACAAUUUCUCCCUUCUCAAUUUCAAAAUUUAGUAGCUUAGAGGUUAAGGUUUUGGGGAAUUUGAUGUUCUAAGGUCAAUCUAGCUUGGAGAAUUAGCGGGCUCUUGUUUGAUUAAAGCACACACAAGGUAAGGAUCCUCAAACCCUAGUAAAUUCCUUGGUUAAUUGUGAAUGAGCAUUAAGUUGGUUCAUGUGAAUGUGAUAAUAUGCGUUAGGUAGUGUAUAUGUGAGAUUGGAACUCAAUUGAAGAGAUUGGAUGCUUGUUUAAGCCUUGUGUGCUGAGGUUUCAGUGUCGGAGGCUUGUGACCUUGCCAACUUGGGUGUUUUUGGCUUAGGGGAGUGAUGAAUCCAUAUUUGAUGAGAUAUUUUGACUUGAUUUGGAUGGAUUUCAUCACAUAAACUCACACUUAAGCAUCAAAAUAGCAUACUUUUGUGCUUGACCCCUAAUUUGGACUUGAAUGUGAAAACAUGCAAUUUUGUACUUAAAUUGAGUAAUUUAACUCCACUUUUAUGCCAUUCGAUGCCAUGAUAUGUUUUGCGAGUGAUUUUAGAUCAUUUAGGCUAGAUUGGCUAGGCAAAAGUGGAAGAAAGCAUGUACAAGGAAGGACACAUGAAGAAAACAAGAAAAAGCACACACAGCUAAGUGUGCGUGUGCACAAGCAUUUGUGCGUGCGCACAAGAAGGAAUUUGCAUGUGUGCAUGCGCACAAGCACCUGUGCGUACGCACAGGAGAACAUUCAGCGAAGUGUGCGUACGCACAAGACCCUGCAUGUGGUUUCAUUAAUGAAACACGUGCUGCGCGAUUUUUGAGGACUUUUGGCCCAAUUUUUGAAGGCUUAAUGUUGAAUGGGAGUGCUAUAUCAAGGGGAAUUGAAGACGUAUGUAGGAGAGCUCACUUUAGAUUAGGUUUUUACUAAGUUUUCAUUAGUUUUAGUUUUUUUCAUCCAUAGGAGUAGGAGUAGUGUAGCAUUGCUUUCU